rnacentral:lncRNA from 1 species
GUGUUUGGGCAGCAUUGAUGUGUUCUUACACGAGUUCGGAAAAUUGGAGUGCUGAGGGGCACUCAUGAAUAGGAUGCGAUGGGCUAGAACAGAUAGCACACACUUAUGCUUGGGAAGAGCUAACGACAUGUCCUCCUAUUAUCAGUUGGUCAAUCUUAUGGGACAAUGCAUCUACCUUGCUAGACAGGUCCAUAGAAUGACUUAUUUCACAAAUGGCCCCUUUUCUUUGAAAAUUCGGGGGUGCUUGACGAGAACAUGAAGCAUGGUGGAGGGAGCUUGUAAUGGCACGUCUAAACUGGUUCGUUCUUCCUAUAGAAAAGUAUUUUUUAAGGAAUUCUUGUUGCAUUUGAUCCCAAGAACGAAUCGAGUUAGCUUCUAAAGAAUUCAGCCAUUAUUUGGCUCUAUCUUUAAGGGAGAAGAAAAAUAAUCUAAGUUUCAGAGCAUCAUCAGUAAAGUUCUGAAUCUUGACAGUGGUGCAAAUCUCAAGAAAUUUAUCUAAGUGUUUAUAUGGGUCUUCGUUAGUGAGCCCAUAAAAAGAUGGGAGCAUUUGGAUCACACUAGACUUUAUUUCAUAUUGUACCGCUGCUACUUCAGGUAAUCGAAUGCAAGAUGGGGAAGUGUAAAUGGUGGGAGUAAAGUACUCUCUCAGGAGUUUGGGUUGUUCUUCAGCCAUCUCAGGAGGUGGGGAUGAUCCUAAUGUUUUGAUCUUAGCUCGAAUGUUCCUAAGGGUU